rnacentral:rRNA from 1 species
GAUGAACGCUGGCGGCGUGCUUAACACAUGCAAGUCGAACGGAAAGGCCAGUGCUUGCACUGGUGCUCGAGUGGCGAACGGGUGAGUAACACGUGGGUGAUCUGCCCUGCACUUUGGGAUAAGCCUGGGAAACUGGGUCUAAUACCAGAUAGGACCAUGCUUUGGAUGGUGUGGUGGAAAGUUUUUUCGGUGUGGGAUGAGCUUGCGGCCUAUCAGCUUGUUGGUGGGGUAAUGGCCUACCAAGGCGUCGACGGGUAGCCGGCCUGGGAGGGUGUACGGCCACAUUGGGACUGAGAUACGGCCCAGACUCCUACGGGAGGCAGCAGGGGGGAAUAUUGCACAAUGGGCGCAAGCCUGAUGCAGCGACGCCGCGUGGGGGAGGACGGCCUUCGGGUUGUAAACUCCUUUCGCAACUGACGAAGCUUUUUGUGACGGUAGGUUGAGAAGAAGCACCGGCUAACUACGUG